rnacentral:tRNA from 1 species
AAACAGGUAGCUCAACUGGGCAGAGUACAUUCGAAAGAAUGAGGUGCGGGUUCGAAUCCCGUCCUGUUUC